CAGACCUCUGCCUGAGUUUUACUCCUUGAACCUGAUAAAAUUCCACUCUCAGGCCUGCUUAUUGUUUGUAAAUUUGAAGAAGCCAUAGAAUGCAACACUGCAAAUUUUCAUCAAUAUCCAUGCGUAUCUUGUAUUUCACAUGAGGUGGUAUUUGAUUGGCCCUUGCAUCCACGUCAAGAAAGACAACAGCAGCCCAGAAUUUAUUUUCCUCCAGAAGAGAGUGAGCAUGAAGAAUCAACUCAGUUUCAUCAGCUAGGCCUUCAAACUUAUCAAGGGUCAAGCACUGUGAUAACAGAGGCAUAAAAGAUACGUGAAUGAGAUAACAGUAGCAUUGUACAUAUGCACAGAAUUUUGUUGAUUCUACUUGGAUAACUUCCUGAAUUAAUAUAUAAACUGGAAUACAAUCAUC